rnacentral:lncRNA from 1 species
UUUACUCUCAAAGAAGACAAGGACCAGUUCUAGUUAGGCUUGAUCGAGUUAAGGGGUCUUUAGGCACUAAAAGAAGGCGCUGGAACUGCUGUCUCAUUUACUCGCCGAUUUAGUUUAAAAAGAUAAUCAUUCUGAGGCUCUAUCACAUGAUACUAGUAGUUCUUCUGCUAUGCUCAAUACUUCAGGUAUGGGUGAUGGGGACAAAGAGCAGCCAUUUUGUGCAUAGAUAUAGGAUCGGCUAUUGGG